UCUCCGCUGGUGAACCAGCGGAGGGAUCAUUACCGAGUUGACAACUCCCAAACCCUAUGUGAACCUUACCUUUUGUUGCUUCGGCGGGAUCGCCCUGGCGCGUCACGGGGCCGGAUCUCAGGCGCGCGCCGGAGGCCGAACACUCUUGUUUAUUUAUGUUUUCUCUCCGAGUGGCACAGGCAAAAUAAAUCAAAACUUUCAACAACGGAUCUCUUGGUUCUG
rnacentral:misc_RNA from 1 species